rnacentral:rRNA from 1 species
UCGGCUUAGAGUUUGAUCAUGGCUCAGAUUGAACGCUGGCGGCAUGCUUUACACAUGCAAGUCGAACGGCACGGGUGCUUGCACCUGGCGAGUGGCGAACGGGUGAGUAACACAUCGGAACGUGCCCAGUAGUGGGGGAUAGCUCGGCGAAAGCCGGAUUAAUACCGCAUGAGACCCAAGGGAGAAAGCAGGUAAUUGCGCUACUGGAUCGGCCGAUGACAGAUUAGGUAGUUGGUGAGGUAAAGGCUCACCAAGCCCGCGAUCUGUAGCUGGUCUGAGAGGAUGAUCAGCCACACUGGGACUGAGACACGGCCCAGACUCCUACGGGAGGCAGCAGUGGGGAAUUUUGGACAAUGGGGGAAACCCUGAUCCAGCCAUGCCGCGUGCAGGAAGAAGGCCUUCGGGUUGUAAACUGCUUUUAUCAGGGAAGAAAAGCGGGGUUAAUAUCCUGUGAUGACGGUACCUGAGGAAUAAGUACCGGCUAACUACGUGCCAGCAGCCGCGGUAAUACGUAGGGUGCGAGCGUUAAUCGGAAUUACUGGGCGUAAAGCGUGCGCAGGCGGCAUUGCAAGACCAAUGUGAAAUCCCCGGGCUUAACCUGGGAACUGCAUAGGUGACUGCAAAGCUAGAGUGCGGCAGAGGGGGUGGAAUUUUGCGUGUAGCAGUGAAAUGCGUAGAUAUGCAAAGGAACACCGAUGGCGAAAGCAGCCCCCUGGGCCUCACUGACGC